GUCCCUGUGAUGCAAUGGAUAGCAUGUUGCACUUUUAAUCCAAAGGUCAUGGAUGCGAAUACCACCUGGGAUG